rnacentral:snRNA from 1 species
AUCCCUUCUCGGCCUUUUGGUUAAGAUCAAGUGUAGUAUCUGUUCUUAUCAGUUUAAUAUCUGAUACGUCCUCUAUCCGAGGACAAUAUAUUAAAUUUUAAUGAAAUGUUU